GUUGGGUGUUGGAAGUCAGGUGUCGGAUAUUGGAAGCUGGGUGUUGGAAGUCAGAUGUUGGAUAUUGGAUAUUGGAAGUUGGGUGUUGGAAAUUGAGUGUUGGAAGUUGAAUGUCAGAAGUUGGAUGUUAGAUGCUGGGUGUUGGAACUUGGAUGUUGAUUGGGUGCAGCCCCUAAAACCUGUGCAGGAGGAAGGCUCAGCAUGUGUGAAAUAUCUGAAACCUUGUAAGGUAUUCAUCUUGUGCUGUAAUUAUUUUUAAACAUCCCAAAUUAUAUGAGUAGUACAGGGAAAACAAUGUCGGCUUGUCUUUAAAACACAGCCUUUCAUUACGGAAAUCUGUCAUCUGUUAAUUCAUUAGAGCCCCGACAGAAAAAGCUGAGAUCAAAACUAUUUUAAAUGAUUCCUGAUGACACACAAUGGCAAAUUUCAGCCAUUAUUCCGGAAAUGUAACCAUCAUUCUUUCUGCUGGAUUCAACAAGGGUCCUUCCUCUGAUAUUAAUUGACUUCUAAGUAGUUGCACAUGUUGUUGUUGUGUUAUUGCUCAGAUCUCUUUCUGAAGUGCGUGGCGAUGUGAGCAAGAAGCCUUGGGCUCCUCAGAUCUCUCUGUCAGACCCACACAGCACUGAGCUCUUAGCACUGGGAACCAGGGGCUCACCAAGCUCUGGGCUCUGCUGCCUUCACCUGCUUUAGUGAGCGGGGGGCAGUUCGCCUCCAUGAGAAAAAGAAUAAAAAACACCACACAUCUGUUUUGUUUUUCUGUUGGUUUUUUUCUUUCUUUCUUUCCUUUUUUUUUUUUUUUUUUUCCCUGAAGAUCCAAGGCAGAAUUUCAAAGCAAAUUCCAAAUCUUAUUUUGUUGCCUUUGUUUCCACGACAUCUCUGCGGGCGCAGCUGUCUGCACUGCUCAUGGAGCCAUCCAAGAGCCCGCAUGGCAAACGCAGACCCAAGGCUUGGCUGGGGCAGCGCAGGUGCUGGUGGCCUCGUGAUGCUGGAAAGCCAUGUUCAUCCUCCUUGGUCUUUGUGGCUCAGCUGGUGCUGUGUGGGUAAUGCCUCACAUCUGCUGUGUGCACAGCACAACAUGGUCCUGGGAACCUGAAAGACGUGGAAGAAAACCAAGUCCUGUCCUUCAUGCAGCUUCUGCCACAAGGUGAGAAUCUCGGCCGACGUUCAGCCUCCAACAGAUGCUAUUCAUGUGAGUGAGAUGUGCUCCCCAUGGCCGUCGUGGUGGAUGUGGCCAUAGAAUAGAAUCACUGAGGCUGGAAAAGCCCUCUGAGAUGCCCAAGCCCACCCCACCCCAUCAUCCCCACUGACCAUGUCCCUCAGUGCCACAUCUCUGUGGUUCUGGAACACCUUCUGGGUGACCCCAGGUCUGUUCCCAAGGAUUUCUGCUGGUGUGUCACAGAACAUCUUUAUUCUUGUUGAGUAAUCCAGGCCAAGCGUAGGUUUACCCUGCAUGUAUGGGGCAGCUGGCAGGCAUUGAUGGGGGGCAGCAAAGUGCUUGUGGAGGAGAAGUGGUUCUUUGUGUUGCCAAAAAUCAGUAUUUUGUGCUGUUAAAGCUGGCUCUGUACUUUUUCCAAGUGAAGUAUAUGAAAAUCCUGCUCAAAUGAUGCGUGAGUUUCUUAUGAACUGGGCUGAGAGCCGAUAAAUUGCUGUGUUUAAUUAAAUACCUCGAUUUACUGAACUUGAGGUGAAGCCAAGCAUGGCAAGCAGGGCCGCUUUUAUGCAUUAUAAGAAGACAAGAAAGCCAACAAUGAGCCAUAAAAUAUUGUAGGACCAAAACAACAACAACAAAAGGGGAUGGGGUGGGAUUUGAGUGCUCUUUUUUAUUUAACAGAAUCCCACCCCUGCUUUGGUUUGAUGCAAGGGAGGGGUACAGAGGGAAGCGUGCUGGGGGGGUGCAGGGGAGAUGCUGGCCCUGGGGGCUGCCUGCUCGUGCACGGCCACCCCAAUGGCUUUGCGCCAUCCCUGCUGCAGUGCUGAACCAACCCACGGCCUCAGGGGAGCGGGGCUGGGCUGAUUUACCUGCACAGCGCCUCGCCGCGUGAGAGCAUAACUCUUCUGCACACCACACAGUGCCUCUGUACUUCAUUGCACUUUAAAUAGCACAGCGGAGAGGAGAAAUAAUUAUUCUCGUAGGUUGGCUGGGGCUGAUUCUAAAUCUGCACGAGCAGAGCUGCUCGGGGACUUUUGGUGCUUGAGUCAGCGAUCCUCUGACUUUGUGACUUCAGAAAGGGACGAGCGUUUGCCUUCUUCUUUUUCUCUUUGCAAUACUUAAUGACAAAGAUAUAAAUCCAUGGCAGCCCUGAGGCAUAAAUAGCCGUAGCGCAGCCAGCUUGCUCUGCCACCCACGGCCCACGAGAGGUCUUCACUGCUUUCUUUUCAUCUGUGAACUUGCUCCAGCAGAAAGCAAACCAGUGCCUCCCCUCCCCCUCUCCCAUCCUUACUGGGCUGCACUGGGAGCAUCGCCGUGGGGCAGCCCAUCGUAGUGCUGUGGGGUUUGCUGCUGUGAAGCCCCUGCUGUAUUUAGGGCCUAACAUCUUUCUGCAGAGCACCCCCUGUGCCGUCCCCAUGGCGUUUGCACGGCGUGCCUUCCACCAACGUGUGGGUGACGUGGAGCAUGGGGUGCCCAGCAAACACAGGGAUGGGACUAUGGGAUAUUACCCACAAAUAGAGGAGGAGAGGGGGAGGAAAAGGAGAAGCAGGAGUCGGAGGGCUGCGUAUGGGUGGCACAGGAGUAGCAGCAAAUAGAAACAGCCCAUGGUGCACGGCUGGGCCUGGGGAACAGCUGUCCCUCUGGAUGCUCACGAGUUAACCAGACAGGCCCAUGGCUGCAGGAAGGAGCAGAGCCCGCCGGUGCCAGCAGAAAGCUGUGAAAACAUCGAGCAGAGUGUUUACAUGGCUUUUUCUUUCUUUUUAUUUUGAGAUGCUCUGAUUACAAGCCAGACUUUUAAAGACAGGAAGUGGCCAGCAGAUGAGCGUAUCAAUCACUGCCUUUAUAAGCUUUUGAAGAUUCUGCAAAUCAUUUUAUGGCUCAGAUAGCAGCCUUCCUGCAAAGGCAAUAAACCUGGCAAUGAGUCAGGCUGAGGAUGUGUGCCGUGCCCAAGGGCUCAGUGCUUUGCCUGUCCGGGUCAGCUCGGUGGGGUGACUGCUCUUCUUCCUGUAUGGCUGCACUGGGAAUGGGUGGAUGGAGCAAAAGGAGACACGUCCCCAUCCAUGCUGUGCUCCUUUGGGAGUGGGCCCUGUGCAGGGGGAGGAUGCACGAGCUAAAUAAACCAUGUGAGCUGAGUGGGUCCUCAGCGUGGAGGUGCGGCGCUUCCCAGGGCAACCACAUCCACAAUUGCACAUGAAACUCCUUUUAAGAUAAGAUGCAAAUGUCUGGAGACUUUCCUAUCUGCAGGCAUUAGGAGAGUCUGGGCUGCAGUCUCUGAUGCCUCUGUGACUGUGCACGUCCUCUCCUCCAUACCAAUCCCUGCAGAGGGACGCUCUGCUGGGGCUGCAGCCCGUUCCAUUGCUGGGCCAAUGCACAACUGCUCCUUGCUGCUUCCAGACGGCGCAGCCAAAUAAACCUCCCGCUCCUUCCCUCUUCCCGGUGCCAUUACUGCCUCCCGCCCCGUAAUUCUCAGCCAUGAGUGAGUCAAAUUCAAUUUUAUAGUGAGUGUGCAAAGUGAACUGUAGCUGGGGAGCAGUUCGGUGCGCGCCAUCCCUCCCCAGCCUGACAACCAGCCUUACUGCCCAGCAGGGAAUAGCCUGAUCGCUCGUUUACGGCUGCAAUCAUCUCUCUGUUACAGCAUUAGAAAGGAAUGAGCACCAAAAGCCAUUAUAAUUAAGAUCUCUCCGGAGCUGACAGUAGAAAUAGAUGGCAUGUGGAGCUGGAGCUCCGUGGCUCAGCUGUUUCUUUUCGAGCUGUCACUGGAAAAUUACAGAGGCUGACAAUCAUAUUCUGAGCUCAGCUGUGCCGAGCAGCACACAUCCAGCACAGCACCAGGCACUGCCGUGGGCUCAGCCCUCCAAACCCAAAGGCUUGCACUGCACUGGGCCACCUGCACAGCACUCAGGUUGGUGUUCACCCCGCUUGGUGUCCCCUACUGAUAUACAGGAGCACCCAAGGUGGUUCCAGAGCUGCACAGAGCUCCUGUGCCAGGCCGGGAGGUUGGGCUGCCCUGGGUGGGUGCUCUGGUGCUCAGCUGGGAGGGCACAUCAGGUCCGUGUGUCCACAUUUGAACCUGGGCUGCUAUCUGUUACCUGAUGCUGACAGCCCGCAAUCACCGCUGGCCUCUCCCCGUGCACAGAGGUGCUCACAGAGCCCAAAGUGUCAGAGAUAUUCAGGGCAGCAGCCAAGGAGCACUGCACAGCGCUGUGGGUCUUCAUACCUCGGGAAGCGUUGCCCAACAGAAUUGAAACAGCAGCUGAUGGUUUCCCAAUUAUUGCUUAAUAACGAGCAGCUCCUCCCCUGCCCCCAGACAGCAAACAGCACACGGUGCUGCGGUGACGGAGCUGCUGAGCGAUGCCUGCUGCACCCUCCUGCUUUUCUCCUACCUCCAAGCUGGGGAGAUCCCCACCGCUCUGCUGUGCGUUUCACCUCCUCUUCGCCCAUUAAGAGGCCCUCUGUGCUCAGCAGGAUGUUGGGAUGGGGCUCUUGCUGCUCUGUGCGUGGCAGCAGCUGAAGGCACGCGUUUUCUGCCUGCAUUUUUUGCUGACAGCCGGCAUCAAAGCUAUUCCUUUUAAAUGUCUGAUGCUGUAUCUCGUUGCAGGAGGCUGUGUUGGGUUACUCCUUGCCACAUACCACUGCGAGAGGGUGUGUUAUUUAAAGAACCAGUGCUUAGCAAACCUCACUCCCUCACCCCGUUGGAUAACUGUGCUAUAAGCACGAGUGGCCUUGCUUUUCUUUCCAAUGGCUGCGUUUUUAAAGGCACCCAGAUUAGAAACCAAUUUGCAGGUAAGGGAAGCAUCGCCCCUGGGGUUUUCUGCUGGCUCAGUCGCAGCAUGGCAGCGGGCAUGAGCUGCUGUGCAUCUGGAUACGGGAGUUUGGAUCUAUGCCACUGCUUUGGGGCAGGUUGGGAUUCCAUGCAAGCCUUUGGGCCUGCAAAGAGCAAGGCUUUUGGAGAAGCUCCCUCUGCCUCAAUGCAAAAAGCUCCGGAGCCACGCUGCCCCUUCCCACCAUCCCACAUCAGCCAAAGCUUCCUUCUAAGCUGCAAAUGAAUUAUUGAUGCAAUUAUUCAUCCUCAUUUAAACAUCUAUUUAGUGGCAUUUAAAUAACAGUGCUCAGAAUAUGUCAACAGUUUACACAAUAAUUUGGAUUCUGAUCUUUAUACCUCUGUUUUCUCCCACACAAAUAAUUGGAACUCAUCCAUUCUAAGUGACAAUUGCAGAUAAGCAUCGCCCUUUUUUUUUUCCUGUUGCACAUGUGCAUUAUCUAAAUAUAUUAAAACACUCCAUUUUAAAUUCAUUUGAAUGAUUAAUCAGUUACUCGGCUGUAAUUGUUUGUGUUAAGACAACUCAGAUUAGAAAACAGAUCAGGGAGACAAUUAGGAAGGCAAGCAGUGUGAAAUCGCUGUCGAUAGCUGUGUGUGAGCGGCUGAGGAUGCAGCGCUGUGCUGCAGAGCAGUGGCGUUCUGCUGUGGGCUCCGUGCACCCCAGUGUGGGACCGGCACUGUGCUGGGACCCCGGGCUGGCACUGGUUUGGGGGGCUGCGUGGGAUGGGAUGGAUGCUGCUGCUCCCAUAGGGAUGCAAUGGGGUGCCGAGGCUGGGGUUCG
rnacentral:lncRNA from 1 species